GUCUCUGGAGAGAAGCUCUGGUUCUCCAAACAGAGCUGGAUGUCCUUAGGUCCCCUGGAUUGUGUGAGGGGGGUGGCGGCCCACCCCUUCCCUUUGUUCAGCACCUGCCCGGGUAGAGGUUAGAGAGCCGAGCACAGGAUCUCCUCUGCUCCCGCAACACCCUUCUUGCGUAGGCAGAGCAGGUUUUACCAGCCCGGGUUACAGGCCAGGAAACGGAGUCAGCAAGAUUGGGAGCCUUACUCAAAGUGCGGCAGCAGCCCAGGCCCAGGGAGACCAGGCCUCCGACGCCGGCUCAAGACGCAGGCUUGUCUGCAGCCCCCAGGCCUGCUCCAGGCCUGACCCUGCUCCUGCGAAAGAGGCCCAGGACGCCACGUGUCUGGUCUGAGUGCUGGACUGAUGAAAAGACUUUUGAAAUCAACAGCCACUUGGAGAGUGAGGCUUCCCUGACCUGCCCUUUCUUCAUUUCGUUUCGGGCUGGUUCGGCCUGUCUCGGCCCUGAGACAGUCUGUCUGUUCACACCGAGGACGUAGUGCCAGUCAUGCUGAGCAGGGCUCGCCUGUCACUGUGUGCCCACCCUGCCCCUGCCCCCUCGGUGCCAACUUUCCAGAGAAAGGAAGGGGAGAAAGAGAACCCCACCCCAGCCCACAGUCCCAGGUCUUGUGAAGGUGGAGUGUGGGGCCUGGCGCACAGUGGGUGCUCAACAGCUCCCCCCACGGCUCCCUGUGCCCCUGUGUUGUGAUUUCACCCUCCGAGGAGUGGGGGACGCCAGGGCGUCCCCAGGAGGCAGCCUGCACCCUCACCGCCAAGGCCACUCGAUGCCGUGCUGCGGGGCAAGACCUUGACUGAGGAACCUUCACAGAGCUUCUGUCCCCAGAAGCCUGCCUCCUCCAGGGCACCCCAUGGUGACUUCCCCCAGUGUCGACAUUGGACUGGAGCCACACUCACAGAACCGGUUUGAAACCAAACAAUGGCGGUCACAGUCCAGCUGAGCAGGAGGCCUCAGCGGGGUGAGCAGGAGUCAGUUCAUGGCCAAGGGGGGCAAAGGGUCCACAGGGACGCAGAGGUGGCAAAGUGACCACAUGGCACCUUUCUCUUCCCCGUGACCCAACUGCAGCUUUGCAGCUUCAAGGGCAGCACACGACCUCUCCACCCAAGUGGCAGGGCCUUCCCCGGCCCCAGAGGUCCUGGGGGUGAAGGAGGGCGACUCCCCCCGGGAGCAGGAGGAAACAGCACUCAGAUCUACAGCCUUCCUAAGGCAAGGGAGGAGCAUUUGAGGUCAGAAUGGCUGUCUUCAGUGCAUGGAAGCUUCCAGAGGGAUUGACCAGGGACGUGACCGCUGGUGUGGUGGGAGGUCUGCCCUCCCCCAGAGGAAGCUGAGAGCCCAGAGAGGUCCCUUGGGCCAGGGCAGGGCUGGGCGCAGGUGUCUGGGUGGAAGUUGAGCAAAGUCUGGCAGGAUGGGGCACCAGGACACACUGAGACACUGCGUGGUUGAGACACUGGGUGGGGACAGACCCCAGCAAUUCCCUUGGAGAUGGAGAGCCCAGGGCAGGUCCCAGGCCCUGCCAGGGGACAGGCUGGUGGUGGGGGUGAGCUGGCCGGGCAGAACGCUCCCUGGAUGCCUGAGGCCCUCUCCUGGAAUUGUCCCCCGCCGUGUGGCUGGGGGACACCCUCACCAUGUGUGCUGGGGCGGGGCGGGGACCCUAGGCAGAGCUUGGGGAAGCAUAUAUCUGAGGGAACCCUCUGUACACACCACCCUGUCCCUGCAGAGAGCCUCCCAGGGGGAUGGCAGCAAAGAGCAAGGCCAAGUAGCCGUCCCCAGCUCCCAGCUGCCUGGCCUUGCUUCUGCCCAGCACACCGUGGGUGGACUCCAACCUACAGCUUCACUGACCUCAGAAGGUCCCACCCUGUGCCUCUGACUGUUUAUUUCCUGCAGAGGAGUCAGGGUUGCUGCCACCGUGCAGGGAACAGAGGUGGCUCCACCCACAGGGCCCACCCAGGCACGGGGAACCCCUGUCCGCAUCCUGACUCCAUCACCGUGCAGGGUACGAACCUGGGCCUGUCACACCUGCUUCCUGGGUGUGAACCCAGAAAACCCCUGAGCCACCAUCCAGUCCCUAAAGUCUCCCCAUCCUGUGACCUUCCUCACCAAAUACGCUUGUCCUCCCCACCGAGAAGAGGUGCAGCCUGGCGGGUGCAGGGGGCUGACAGGCGGCUGUGCCUUCUCCUGCCCCAAUCCCAGGCUGUCCUCCUGGAUCCCACAUCAAGGGGCCCAGCGGUCGGGGAGCUCAGGCUGCUCCCCAACUUUCCCUGGAAACCACCCGAAGUUACCACCACUGGAUUAGAUCUCCACAAUUUGCCCCGUACUCAUACAUUAGCCAUGACUUUAUCUGAUCCUCACUGCAAGGUGGAUUGUUGGUUCUAUUUUAUAGGUGAGGAGACUGAGUCUCCGACAGGCCCUGUGUCUUGCUCAAAGCCACCUAGCAAGUCAGGGGCAGGGAGGGUUUUCAACCCAGGGGCAGACCCCUCACCCCCCACUCCCCCAAACCCCGGCAUUGUAGAGCCCUGGUCGCCCUCCUCCAUGUCGCCACGGCACCAACACCCAGGCGCCUCCAUUCAGGGCCUGACUCUGCAGCCUACUGAGCUGGUGAUGUCAGCGUUGCCAUAGAAACGCUUCCCUGGCGUCAGGCAGGACCAGCCUCCCUGGCGCAGUUUCCCUUUGUGUGGACUUUGCAAUGCGUUGCCAAGGCAGUGGGGCCUGCUGGGCGGGCUGGCAUGGGGUGGAGAAGGCAGACAAAAACCCACACUGCAUCCCAGCAACCAGCAGCUCACAACAUGGCCCACGGCGCCCGCGGGGGGAGGGGCUGCAGGCUGGGGCCAAGGCAGUGGCCAAGGCUGUGAGGGUGGGGACAGACUGCACCUCUGCUCAGGCCCCUGGCUGGCAACAGCCUUGUGUCAUCCUUAGUGCUGACCUGGGGUCCUGCUGCCUCAGAAUCCCCUGGGCCUGGGUCGUGUGGAAAACGCAGACCUGCUUGGCAGGGGGUGGGUGGGGAGGAGUCCGUGGUUUAAACAAAUUCCCAAGGCAAUUCAGGUGUGCAAUCAGUUCUGAGAACGCAGUUCAGGGGAGGAUGACCUUUACUGAGCACCUAGAUAUGUCAGGCCCUUUUGCCUAUUUCAUCUUGCAUGAACCUCCCCGCAACCCUGAGUGGGGGAAGGGGACAGAAGAAAUUGUGUGUGUGUGUGUGUGUGUGUGUGUGUGUGUGUGUGUGUGUAUUUUCAUCUUCAUUUCACAGUGGAAGACACUGAAACUCAAGAGAAGUUAAAUCUCCUGCUCGCCCGUGGUCACCCGGCUUGGACGUGGCAGAGUUUGGAUUCCAACACCAGGCUCCUCAUCACCCAGGCUGGGCCGGUGGCCUGGCAUCGUUCGCUUCCUCCUCCUGCUGGUUUUCCAGGAAGAAUCCUCAAGCACCUCUGUAGAGCGGGCCGGCCAGAGCCUCCCACUGGAAGCCUCCCACCAGCUCCCGGAUCUAAGAGGGGAUUGAGCCAACCGAGAAUCACAGAGCCGGCUCCUCCCCGCACCGGCUGCCUGCAGAGGCUCAGGAAGCCUGCCCGGCCUCGCUGCCCAGGCCUCCUCGCUCACUUCAUGGGCUCCUGAAGUCUCUGGUUUUGCCCCUCCCCAGGGGUAGGUGGCCCCUGACCCAGUCCACCGAGAUGCUCCCCCAACACCUUUCUUGGAAGUCUCCAGCAAGAAAAACCCACUGACCUCGCUGGCGACGCUUAAGAGCCUCUGUGCUUAGAACCUGCGGCCUUCCUGUGUCCCCCCUCCCCCCUCCUGCUUUCUCCGAACCUGGUUCCUCCCGCCUGCCAACUCUGAGGCUGGGAGCCCUGCCAGACUCCACAGCCCCAGGAUCGGGGCUCCCCCCUCCACCUGCUUCCCCCUUAUUCAAGGUGGACAAACACCAGUGAUGUCGGAUGAGGGCUGAACUCAUGCCAGGGAUACCAGGAAUGGCUGGAUGGUGAAUGGUGAUGAGACUUCUCAGCCCGUGCUGGGCACGCCUGCAGCCAGCCAGCGUUCCGGCCCCAGCCAUUACCAGGCCCGGCCAAUCCUUUCAUCGAACAAGUAUUUCCUGAAGUCUGUGUGCUACGUACUAAAAAAGCAUUAAAAAAAAAAAAAAAAAAAGUCCCCAAGCAGGUCAAAAAUGAUGGAAGGGAAUUAAUAAAAGCCAAACAACCAAAUAACUGUGACCCCUGCCCCCAUAGAAGAGUACAGCCUGGUGGUAGUUCAUGUUUAACUUUGAGAUGAAGAGGAAAUACACUCCCAAAUACCAGCAAUGGU